rnacentral:rRNA from 1 species
CACGUAGGGCGCAAGCGUUUGUCCGGAAUUAUUGGGCGUAAAGAGCUCGUAGGCGGUCUGUUGCGUCCGCUGUGAAAACUCGGGGCUUAACCCCGAGCCUGCAGUGGAUACGGGCAGACUAGAGGUAGGUAGGGGAGAAUGGAAUUCCCGGUGUAGCGGUGAAAUGCGCAGAUAUUCGCCAGAACACCAGUGGCGAAGGCGGCCGACUGGGCCAUUCCUGACGCUGAGACGCGAAAGCCAGGGUAGCGGAACCGG